UGUCCAAGAAAAUGUGCUCCAGGUGUUAAUAAAAUUUAUUUCACUUCUGUUUGCACGGAUCACAAACUAUUUGGAUUUUGGAGGACAGUGUGAACUUAAAAUGAAAUCUAGACCUUCAGGAGAUUCUUAUGGUUCCUGAAUCUUGGGUUCCAUUUGGUAGACUUUCGAGUAUUAACUGCUAUGAUAAGGGCAUGGGAAGGUUAACCUUAACAGAACAGAAUAGACUUACUGUGACCCAGACCUACUAAUAGACAUAGUCACUUUCAAUAAUAAUAAUAGACAAAAACAAUCAGCCAUGUAGCUGAUUCACUGGAGGUCAAACACAAAUAAAAGAAA
rnacentral:lncRNA from 1 species